rnacentral:rRNA from 1 species
UACGGGGGGGGCAAGCGUUGUUCGGAAUUACUGGGCGUAAAGGGCUCGUAGGCGGCCAACUAAGUCAGACGUGAAAUCCCUCAGCUUAACUGGGGAACUGCGUCUGAUACUGGAUGGCUUGGAUUCGGGAGAGGGAUGCGGAAUUCCAGGUGUGGCGGUGAAAUGCGUAGAUAUCUGGAGGAACACCGGUGGCGAAGGCGGCAUCCUGGACCGAUAUUGACGCUGAGGAGCGAAAGCUAGGGGAGCAAACGGG